GGGUGAGGGUGAGGGUGGUUUGACUGAGGAUGACACCAAGUGGGAUCAUGUUAGAAAAGGAAUGUGCUGUAUAUGUUCUAAUACCAAUAUUGACUCUUUACUGUACAGGUUGGUAGAGAUCUCAUACUUUUUUUUUUUGAUAAUUAUAUAGCUUGUUCUAAUCAAAGGCUAUAAUGGAUUUAAUUUUUAGUACCUGGAAAUGAUUGUCUUUGAAGAUGCAGAUAUUUUGAUGAUGUCUUUUAGUUUUCUAUUUAUAUUUUCCAGAGUUUGUCUAGAUAUGUUGUUUAAAUUAUUUUCUAUUUUUUUCUUUCUUAUUUUGUUUCUGGUACUAAGAUGUGAUUAGUUUCCUCUACUUAUAAGGUUUUUCUAAUGUUGUUCUGCAUUUUUUUGGACCCAAGCAUGUGCUUUGUAGCAAUGCCGGAUGUCUGUGGCAUUAGAUCAAUUUUGGUGUCUCAUGUCAACAGAAAAAAAUGAAUAGCCACUCAGUUGCUGGAUGAAGUGAGCUAUCACCCAAUACCAGUUGUGUUCUCUGAGGCAAAGGGAUCAUGUAUAUGGGAUCCUGAAGGCAAAUGGUAUCUAGACUUUCUCUCUGCUUAUUCUGCAGUUAAUCAGUGCUACUGCCUCUUCAAUGUCUGCACUAAAGCAGCCAACCGUUCGAGUUCAGGCUAUCAUUACUAAAGGUGUACCGAGUCAGAUGCUAAGCAAUUGAUUAUGGCUAUCAUUGCAUUAUUUUCUUAUGAUCGAGUUGUGGCUAUCAUUGCAUUAUUUGCUUCUGAAAAUUUGAGAAACUUCAUGUUGCAGAAACUAUUAGUACUAAAGAAUUAUGUCAACAUGUAAUAAGAAGAAUCACUAUAACA